AACCUGGUUGAUCCUGCCAGUAGUCAUAUGCUUGUCUCAAAGAUUAAGCCAUGCAUGUCUAAGUAUAAACUGCUUUAUACUGUGAAACUGCGAAUGGCUCAUUAAAUCAGUUAUAGUUUAUUUGAUGGUACCUACUUACUCGGAUACCCGUAGUAAUUCUAGAGCUAAUACGUGCGCACAUCCCGACUUCUGGAAGGGACGUAUUUAUUAGAUAAAAGGCCGACCGGGCUUGCCCGACUCGCGGUGACUCAUGAUAACUUCACGAAUCGCAUGGCCUCGCGCCGGCGAUGUUUCAUUCAAAUUUCUGCCCUAUCAACUUUUGAUGGUAGGGUAGAGGCCUACCAUGGUGGUAACAGGUGACGGAGAAUUAGGGUUCGAUUCCGGAAAGGGAGCCUGAAGAACGG
rnacentral:rRNA from 1 species